CGCAAGCCUGACGGAGCAAGACCGCGUGGGGGAGGAAGGCUCUUGGGUUGCAAACCCCUUUUCUCAAGGAAGAACACAAUGACGGUACUUGAGGAAUAAGCCUCGGCUAACUCCGUGCCAGCAGCCGCGGUAAUACGGAGGAGGCAAGCGUUAUCCGGAAUGAUUGGGCGUAAAGCGUCCGUAGGUGGCUGUUCAAGUCUGCUGUCAAAGACAGUGGCUUAACUACUGAAAGGCAGUGGAAACUGAACAGCUAGAGUGCGGUAGGGGCAGAGGGAAUUCCCGGUGUAGCGGUGAAAUGCGUAGAUAUCGGGAAGAACACCGGUGGCGAAAGCGCUCUGCUAGGCCGCAACUGACACUGAGGGACGAAAGC
rnacentral:rRNA from 1 species